GACGAACGCUGGCGGCAUGCCUAAUACAUGCAAGUCGAGCGAACAGAUGAAGUGCUUGCACUUCUGACGUUAGCGGCGAACGGGUGAGUAACACGUAAGGAAUCUACCUAUAAGCGGGGGAUAACAUUCGGAAACGGGUGCUAAUACCGCAUAAUAUCUUCUUCCGCAUGGAAGAAGAUUGAAAGACGGCUCUGCUGUCACUUAUAGAUGACCUUGCGGUGCAUUAGUUAGUUGGUGGGGUAAUGGCCUACCAAGACGAUGAUGCAUAGCCGACCUGAGAGGGUGAUCGGCCACAUUGGGACUGAGACACGGCCCAAACUCCUACGGGAGGCAGCAGUAGGGAAUCGUCCGCAAUGGGCGAAAGCCUGACGGAGCAAUGCCGCGUGAGUGAAGAAGGCCUUCGGGUCGUAAAACUCUGUUAUAAGAGAAGAACAAAUUGUAGAGUAACUGCUACAGUCUUGACGGUAUCUUAUCAGAAAGCCACGGCUAACUACGAGCCAGCCGCCGCGGUAA
rnacentral:rRNA from 1 species